GGUCUGGUGGUCUAGUGGUAUGAUUCUCGCUUAGGGAACACCCUAAGUCCCAUGGAAUUCCUUGGGAUCGUGGUUCUAACCGCGGCAUGCGAGAGGUCCCGGGUUCAAUCCCCGGCCAGACCC